AUGAAGACAAUAGUGGGGAUGCUCUUCCAGGAGGACCGAGAGGAGAAAAGGAGGAGGAUGCAGGCCCGCUUACAGGAACGCAAUCUUCACCCUGAAACGUCGCGGGUAGUCAAGAAGAUAAUCUGUGCUGAGGGUGGAGGGCGCACAAGAAGCCUGCAUGCAAAGCUCCUACAGAAUCUGCGUGCCCAUGGAGUGACAGCAAAUUCUACUCAUCACAUACCAGUAAUAGACGGAGCACUGCCAGAGGUGCUAAAUGCCAUAGUUGAUGAGGUGGCCAAGUUGGAGCGUUCAGCAUGUACCAGUGAAAACUUAUCUCGUAAUGAUGGCCCUUGGGUUGAAUCGGGAAAGGUGCUUGAGAGUUUUAUAGGCCUCACUUUCCAGAUUUGCAAAGGCCUGAAUGCAUGUGGUUUUGCCAAAACACUAGAGGGUACCAAUCUUACUCUGGACACAUUGGUCAUGAAGCUUAACAAAAUACUCGAAUUGUACAAGUAUACAACUACCGAUUUUCCUAGCAUAAGGCGAUCUACACUUGAACUCAUGACCUGGAUGGUACAAAAGAACAGCAACUACAGAGAAAUAUUCCUACAAUGUGGAGUGUAUGAGCAGCUGAAAGAAGUGGCAAACACUGCUGGAAGAGCUGAGAGAUUUGAGCUGUUCCACUGCGGUGUUGGGGUUGGUGGUAAGGACAUAUCAUGCAUCCCUUCUCUUGUGAGUGAAUUAAAGAAACAGCUUGAGCUCUGCCCCCAUUUCGAACAAAGAUCACACUACUACGGAGCACGUGCAGACACCAUAACUGUUUUGGUCGCCUAA
rnacentral:rRNA from 1 species